GGGCGAAUACUCAAGUGGCCAACGAGGGCAGACUGUAAAUCUGCUGGCUUAUGCCUACGGGGGUUCGAAUCCCUCUUCGCCCA
rnacentral:tRNA from 2 species